rnacentral:rRNA from 1 species
UACGGAGGGGGCUAGCGUUGUUCGGAAUUACUGGGCGUAAAGCGCACGUAGGCGGCUUUGUAAGUUAGAGGUGAAAGCCCGGGGCUCAACUCCGGAAUUGCCUUUAAGACUGCAUCGCUUGAAUCCGGGAGAGGUGAGUGGAAUUCCGAGUGUAGAGGUGAAAUUCGUAGAUAUUCGGAAGAACACCAGUGGCGAAGGCGGCUCACUGGACAUGUAUUGACGCUGAGGUGCGAAAGCGUGGGGAGCAAACAGG